ensembl:lncRNA
UUACUCGGUUCCCCCAGCGCUAGGCUUUCAACACACUGUCCAGGAGGUCCCUUUUAGAGGUAGUCCGGCAGGUAUUGCACCCUAUGCAUCUGAAAUACGGGAGUUAAAAGAGAUUCUUAAAAGUCAGCAAGAGCAGUUGAAUCAGCUCGCAAAGAGUCUUGCUGCUUUGAAUAGUGCUUCCACACCAUAUCCUGCCUCACGUAAUAAGGCUGUCAUUUGCAGACGGUGCCAGAAGGUUGGGCAUUUUGCCAGAGAGUGCCCUGGUGAGCCCACAGUCAUGCCUGUGCAGUCAGCUGGUACAGCAACGCAAGUCAGUUUAAGUGAUGUUGGCUGUUCUUCCAUGCAGGAAAACUUCCACCCCCUGAACCAUUGAGCCGAGAUUCAGGUGGGGGCAUCCUAGGCUCAGAGUCUGUACUACCUGACCCGUUGCUGCAGGUUACUGGUAGGAAACCAGUAACUGGUAGGAAACCAGUAACCCCUGCUGUCAAAACCAUUACUUCGGUCUUUCCUGGGUACGCACUGUCUGACCUUCGUAUGUUGCAGGAGACGGACCCCGUGAUCCGGGAGUUUCUGCAAUUUUGGAGGCUGAGGCGGGGCCCUGACGCUAAGGAGCGUGGUCGCACUUCAAGGCUGGCCCUCGGAUUGGUCAGGCAAUGGCGUCGGUUAGUGGAGCAGGGUGGUGUGUUAUAUCGGAAGGUCUGUCAUCCAAGGAGAGGAGAGACACUGCAGGUAUUGCUGCCCAAGUCCCUUCAGGGUCAAGUUUUGCAACAUGUGUGCCAGGAGCAUGGUCAUCAGGGUGUUUGGAGCACGGUAGAUGUGGUUUCUCAAUGGUGCUACUGGGUAGGGAUGUAUAGAGACAUCCAACGGUGGUACCAGGAGUGUGAGCGAUGCCAUUUGGCUAAGGAUGCACCAACCCAUCGUAAUGUGUGUGGGGGCCAUUUGCCUGCACCCCAACCGAAACAAACCCCUGUAGCUGAUUGGCGUAAGAUGCGCCACGACCAGCAAGCAAAGGAUGCUCCCCUGCGAGAAGGUCAGUUGGUCUAUCUGAAGAAAGUUGGACUCGGAGGUUGUGAUAAAAGUAAGGGUGCUAUGAGUUCAUUGGCGUAUAAAGUGCUAAAGGCCCCUCACCAAAAUGGGUCCAUGUAUACUACUGCCCCUGUAGAAGAACCGAUGCACGGUGGCGAGUGGUUUUUAUUGGUCUCGGAACCUACUCCAGCCCCAAGCAGUUGCCAACAAAGACCAGAGACUCCUAGCCCUCGUAGGUCAGAUGAGCUAGAACCCUCAACGUCCUCCGCGGGGUCGGCCUGCCCUGACCAGCUGCCAGUUAUGGCUGGUGUUCAUAACGAUAUAGCCCCUUUACGUAGGACUAAUCGUGGUAAUGCUGGGACGCACCCAAAUCCGCACCAUUUGCCCCAGGCAGCAGGAAGUAGAGCAAUAGAGGCCGUGAACUCACAGGCACCUGUGCCUACUACAGUUACCCUGUUUAGACCUUGGCAGUGAGUGUCAAUCGUCGGGACGACGAUUCAAAUCUCGGGGGUAGAUUGUAGUGAAGUAGAUUUUGGGUUGGGAUGUUACAUGAUGUCCCUAAACGCACCACUGACAUCCACACCUUUCAGCCGACAAUUACCUGGCUAUAAGAAACAGCUGCGCUUCAAUACUGAGAGAAGGCAUUUGGCAGUCUUGGCAAUCUAAGGUGGCUGCAGCACUAGGCAGUUGAGCUCCACAUAUCUCUUAAGGAAAGCUACUCAGUUGCCCUUAGAGAGUGUGCUGAAUCAUCAGGCAGCUCCACUGUGAACUAUACCUCCACCCUCUUCUCCUCCUGGGCGUGGACAGCAGCGAGGAUGCACAUAAAAAGAGAUGGAUGGAGAAAGCAGCAGUGUCCUCAACAGACAAUCUGUCCACCUGCAGCAAGAUCACCAGAGAGCCUCCUGAACAGCAGCCUUCAUCCUCCUCAUCCUCCAUCAGACCUGCAGAAGAAUCGAGAAGUGACUCUUCACCCACAGCACAGUUCCCUGUCGGCUGACUGGCUCCCUACAAGAUGCUCCGCCCCCUGCUCUUCCUGUCUGCUC